UUGAUUUGCCAGAGGCGUGCUGGCACAACGCUAAUACAGAACCACCUACAGCUACCGCGGAGAGAGAGAAAGAGAGCGGAAACAAAAGCAGGUCGAAGUAAAAACAAUGCGCAGUUUUCAUUACGAAUCUCCUGCCAAGGACUUGCUUUUGUUGAAGGACCUAAGCUGUGCAGCACAAUGCUAAAGAGACUUGUAUGGCAUUCUAACGAGAAAGGAAAGGAGUAGAGUAAACUGUGAAGACGCAGCGUGAGAAACCAACAGACACAAUUUAAACUUAACAGGCACAUUUAGAGAAUGCACUUUAAAGAGAUACUGUCACAUCGGACUUUCUUCAAUGCUGAGGUACUUGCCAAUAGAGAGCAGAAGCUACAGUUUAAUAUUACGAGUCUAAGCAACUGAAAUAUUUAGAGAAAACUCGCAUCAGGUGAUCAGUUAAAGAGUUGGUGUCACAUCGGACUUCCUUCAAUGAUGAGAUACUUGCCAAGAGAGAUCAGCAGCUACAAUUAAAUAUCACAAAUCUAAAGGAACUGGAAUACGCACCAGCUGAUCAGUUGAAGAGGGAAGAGUUCAGCACUUUUGCAUAUUUUGUUGCUAAGGUGCGAUUCUCUUACAGUUCCUGUCAUCGGAUUUGCUUCAAUGCUGAGGUACUUGCCAAUAGAGAACAGGAGCUAUAAUUAAAU